UACGUAGGGUGCAAGCGUUGUCCGGAAUUAUUGGGCGUAAAGAGCUCGUAGGCGGUUUGUUGCGUCGGCUGUGAAAUCCCGAGGCUCAACCUCGGGUCUGCAGUCGAUACGAGCAAACUAGAGUGUUGCAGGGGAGACUGGAAGUUCCUGGUGUAGCGGUGAAAUGACGCAGAUAGUCAGGAGGAACACCCGGUGGCGAAGGCGACCACCUGGACUGAUACUGACACUGGAGGUGCGAAAGCCGUGGGGAGCAAACACGG
rnacentral:rRNA from 1 species